GAGUUUGAUCCUGGCUCAGGACGAACGCUGGCGGCGUGCUUAACACAUGCAAGUCGAACGGGAUCCAAGUGGGCUUGCUUGCUUGGUGAGAGUGGCGAACGGGUGAGUAACACGUGAGUAACCUGCCCCCUUCUUUGGGAUAACGACCAGAAAUGGUUGCUAAUACUGAAUAUUCACGCAUUGUCGCAUGGUGGUGUGUGGAAAGGUUUUUCUGGUGGGGGAUGGGCUCGCGGCCUAUCAGCUUGUUGGUGGGGUGAUGGCCUACCAAGGCUUUGACGGGUAGCCGGCCUGAGAGGGUGACCGGUCACACUGGGACUGAGAUACGGCCCAGACUCCUACGGGAGGCAGCAGUGGGGAAUAUUGCACAAUGGGCGAAAGCCUGAUGCAGCGACGCCGCGUGAGGGAUGACGGCCUUCGGGUUGUAAACCUCUUUCAGUAAGGACGCAGGCCUAGGCUUUUGUUUGGGUUGACUUUACUUACAGAAGAAGCGCCGGCUAACUACGUGCCAGCAGCCGCGGUAAUACGUAGGGCGCAAGCGUUGUCCGGAAUUAUUGGGCGUAAAGAGCUCGUAGGCGGUUUGUCGCGUCUGUCGUGAAAACCCACAGCUUAACUGUGGGCUUGCGGUGGGUACGGGCAGGCUUGAGUGCGGUAGGGGAGACUGGAAUUCCUGGUGUAGCGGUGGAAUGCGCAGAUAUCAGGAGGAACACCGGUGGCGAAGGCGGGUCUCUGGGCCGUUACUGACGCUGAGGAGCGAAAGCAUGGGGAGCGAACAGGAUUAGAUACCCUGGUAGUCCAUGCCGUAAACGUUGGGCACUAGGUGUGGGGGCUGUUUCCAUGGUUCCUGCGCCGUAGCUAACGCAUUAAGUGCCCCGCCUGGGGAGUACGGUCGCAAGGCUAAAACUCAAAGGAAUUGACGGGGGCCCGCACAAGCGGCGGAGCAUGCGGAUUAAUUCGAUGCAACGCGAAGAACCUUACCAAGGCUUGACAUACAUCCAGAGUCUGCAGAGAUGUGGGCGCAUUUAGUUGGGGGUGUACAGGUGGUGCAUGGUUGUCGUCAGCUCGUGUCGUGAGAUGUUGGGUUAAGUCCCGCAACGAGCGCAACCCUUGUCUCAUGUUGCCAGCACGUUAUGGUGGGGACUCGUGAGAGACUGCCGGGGUUAACUCGGAGGAAGGUGGGGAUGACGUCAAAUCAUCAUGCCCCUUAUGUCUUGGGCUUCACGCAUGCUACAAUGGCCAGUACAGAGGGUUGCGAUAUCGUAAGGUUGAGCGAAUCCCUUAAAGCUGGUCUCAGUUCGGAUUGGGGUCUGCAACUCGACCCCAUGAAGUCGGAGUCGCUAGUAAUCGCAGAUCAGCAACGCUGCGGUGAAUACGUUCUCGGGCCUUGUACACACCGCCCGUCACGUCACGAAAGUUGGUAACACCCGAAGCCCAUGGCCUAACCGUUUGGGGGGAGUGGUCGAAGGUGGGACUGGCGAUUGGGACGAAGUCGUAACAAGGU
rnacentral:rRNA from 1 species